AACCUACGGGGCGCAGCAGUAGGGAAUCUUCCACAAUGGACGAAAGUCUGAUGGAGCAACGCCGCGUGAGUGAAGAAGGGUUUCGGCUCGUAAAGCUCUGUUGGUAGUGAAGAAAGAUAGAGGUAGUAACUGGCCUUUAUUUGACGGUAAUUACUUAGAAAGUCACGGCUAACUACGUGCCAGCAGCCGCGGUAAUACGUAGGUGGCAAGCGUUGUCCGGAUUUAUUGGGCGUAAAGCGAGUGCAGGCGGGUUAAUAAAGUUGAUGUGGAAAGCUUUGGUCUCAACGGGGAAAU
rnacentral:rRNA from 1 species